GAUGAACGCUAGCGGCAGGCUUAAUACAUGCAAGUCGAGGGGCAGCACAGAUAGCAAUAUUGGGUGGCGACCGGCAAACGGGUGCGGAACACGUACACAACCUUCCUUUUGGUGGGGGAUAGCCUUUGGAAACGGAGAUUAAUACCCCAUAAGAUAUUGGGACCGCAUGGUUUUGAUAUUAAAGAUUUAUUGCCAGAAGAUGGGUGUGCGUAUGAUUAGGUAGUUGGUGAGGUAAAGGCUCACCAAACCGACGAUCAUUAACUGGUGUGAGGGCACAGCCAGUCGCACGGGAACUGAGACACGGGCCCGACUCCGACGGGAGGCAGCAGUAAGGAAUAUUGGGCAAUGGACGGAAGUCUGAACAAGCCAUGCCGCGUGGAGGAUGAAGGUCCUCUGGAUUGUAAACUUCUUUUAUAUGGGGCGAAAAAGGGCCAUUCUUGGUCAACUGACGGUACCAUAUGAAUAAGCACCGGCUAACUCCGUGCCAGCAGCCGCCGAAAAAC
rnacentral:rRNA from 1 species